rnacentral:sRNA from 1 species
AUCGCCGAGGCACUUUACGCAGCGGGGA